UGGGUGACAGAGCGAGACUCCAUAUCAAAAACAAAACAAAACAAAACAAAAAGGGGGACUUUUUGCGAUGAUUGCUUUCUUUCCAUGGCAGCUUGUCCACCCUGGAAGGAGCCCGGUGCAGCGGUAAGGAGAGCCUGAAGGGGGCGGUGUCAUCCCGAGGCUCUGGCCUCCCGUUGUCCAUCACCGUAGAGAGGCGGGGCGUCAAGCCGGAAGCACAUGAAGCCAGAACUUGGAAGGCAGAGAGGGCAAGACAGAUGAGGGAAUGGAGCCCAGAGAAGCUGAGGUAAUUUGUCCAGGACAGGAAGUGAGACUUGAUAUUACAGUGCAGGGGUGUGAUUAGAUGUAUAGUCCCCAGCCCAGACUGCAUGGCAUCUCCUAUUCCCAGCAUCCACUCACUAGCUGAUCUAGGGGUCAGCUGAUCACUCACCAGCUGGACCUUGGACAAGUUAUUCUAAUCCAUUUGUGCUUAUCUGUAAAUGGGGCUAAUAAGUGUCUUCCUUAUAGA